rnacentral:tRNA from 2 species
GGAGAGGUAGCGAAGUGGUCAAACGCAUCUGACUGUAAAUCAGACGGCUUACGCCUUCGAAGGUUCAAAUCCUUCCCUCUCCA